rnacentral:ncRNA from 1 species
CGCAGUGACACGGGGUGCCCCUUUCGGGGCUGAGAGUAAACCCGUUGAACCUGAUCUAGUUCGUACUAGCGAAGGGAUGUCAUGCAGCGGCUGC